GCGCGUCCUCGAUACCAUCAAGGAGUUGGGCCGGCUCACUUAUGGCGUCAUGGUCUAAUUACCGGGAUAGUUUCACAAAGUAGACGAUCUCAGAUAGGCAUUGUUGGAGCGCCGUUGUUCCGUGCUCGCCUACAAGCGCGCUCUCGUCUUACGGAACAUACGGCCAUUCCUGCUUGAUCGCCGUGUCCAAGUGUCCGAGUCGGCUUGUAAAGGUUGCUUGAGAAUAAUAGUCUGAGUGGGGUUCUGUUCCAUACAUCAUUUGGCAAAUCAUGAAUUUUAUGGCAAUAAAAGUCUGAUCUUGUUAGACCUUAUUGAAGGUUUAUUUGAAGCUUUUACCUUGACUCAAAAAGUUUUGGAAUCAAUUCUAUGUGAACCACUUUGACAAGAUGUUAUGUAUGCAUUCAUAUUUGAAGCUUAGAGACAAUAAGACAAUUAUAGGUUAGAAGAUCCUGUGUGUUAGUUUCAUUCAUUUUGCUAGGAGUCACUGCUCAUAUCUUAUACUUUUUUUCUCCAAUGAUCGAGUGGGUCUUCUUCAUGGAUUUAGAUGCUGUUCUCAUACCAAUUUUGAUAAUCUAUCAGAUUGUUAUCAGCCAAUACCACCCGAUGUUAUUGAAAAAAAUGAUUUAUCCACGGCAGUAAAAACUAUAUGCUUCAUCAUUGUUACUUAGAUGGAGAGGUAAAUAUUGUGUAGGUAUGUAUUGGUUCAAACAAUAUUUUAAGUAAUGAUCUUGGUUCCUAAUGGUUGUAGGAAUCACCUGAUGU